rnacentral:rRNA from 1 species
GGCUCAGGAUGAACGCUGGCGGCGUAGCUUAACACAUGGCAAGUCGAACGAAGAUGCCGGAGUGCUUGCACUUUGGCAGACUGAGUGGCGGACGGGUGAGUAACGCGUGGGUAACCUGCCUUAUACAGGGGGAUAACAGUUGGAAACGACUGCUAAUACCGCAUAAGCGNACGGUAUCGUAUGAUACAGUGUGAAAAACUCCGGUGGUAUAAGGAUGGACCCGCGUCUGAUUAGCUUGUUGGUGAGGUAACGGCCCACCAAGGCGACGAUCAGUAGGGGUUCUGAGAGGAAGGUCCCCCCACAUUGGAACUGAGACACGGUCCAAACUCCUACGGGAGGCAGCAGUGAGGAAUAUUGGUCAAUGGACGAGAGUCUGAACCAGCCAAGUAGCGUGCAGGAUGACGGCCCUAUGGGUUGUAAACUGCUUUUAUAAGGGAAUAAAGUGAGUCUCGUGAGACUUUUUGCAUGUACCUUAUGAAUAAGGACCGGCUAAUUCCGUG